rnacentral:rRNA from 1 species
CCUGGCUCAGGAUGAACGCUAGCGAUAGGCUUAACACAUGCAAGUCGAGGGGCAGCAUGGUCUUAGCUUGCUAAGACUGAUGGCGACCGGCGCACGGGUGCGUAACGCGUAUGCAACUUGCCUCACAGAGGGGGAUAACCCGUCGAAAGACGGACUAAUACCGCGUACACUUGGGAUAGGGCAUCCUGACCCAAGGAAAUGAAAUUCGCUGUGAGAUAGGCAUGCGUCCCAUUAGCUAGUUGGUGAGGUAACGGCUCACCAAGGCGACGAUGGGUAGGGGAACUGAGAGGUUGAACCCCCACACUGGUACUGAGACACGGACCAGACUCCUACGG